UCGAGCGUUAUUACACCCCUCAAGUCUAUGCUUCUGCAGUACUUGGUGUUGGGCCUUGCCCCCGGGCAUGCCUAAAAAUCAGCGAUGGUACGUUCAACCGCAGACGCACACAUGUCGUCAUGUUGGGGCGACGCAACCAGUCUCAUGAUGAAUUUCUCAAUGUUAACCUCGGAUCAGGUAGGAAUACCCGCUGAACUUAA
rnacentral:misc_RNA from 1 species